CCUACGGGUGGCUGCAGUGAGGAAUAUUGGUCAAUGGGCGCGAGCCUGAACCAGCCAAGUAGCGUGAAGGAUGACUGCCCUACGGGUUGUAAACUUCUUUUAUAAAGGAAUAAAGUGAGGCACGUGUGCCUUUUUGUAUGUACUUUAUGAAUAAGGAUCGGCUAACUCCGUGCCAGCAGCCGCGGUAAUACGGAGGAUCCGAGCGUUAUCCGGAUUUAUUGGGUUUAAAGGGAGCGUAGAUGGGUUGUUAUGUCAGUUGUGAAAGUUUGCGGCUCAACCGGAAAAUUGCAAUUGAAACUGGCGGUCUGAAGAUGUAGAGAGGUAGGCGGAAUGCGCAGGGUAGCGGUGAAAGGCUUAGAUAUUGCGCAGAACGCCGAUUGCGAAGGCAGAAUACCGGCGGCGAUCUGACGCUGAGGCACGAAAGCGUGGGUAUCGAACAGGAUUAGAUACCCAAGUAGUC
rnacentral:rRNA from 1 species